CCCUUAGAUGUUCUGGGCUGCACGCGUGCUACACUGAUAUUGCCAAUAUGUCAUUCUUAUCCGAAAUGGAUUGGGUAAUCAAGUAAUGAAAUUUCAUGCUUGGAAUCGGUAAUUGCAAUUUUAUCGUGAACGAGGAAUUCCUAGUAAGCACUAGUCAUCAGCUAAUGUUGAUUAUGUCCCUGCCCUUUGUACACACCGCCCGUCGCUCCUACCGAUUGGGUGUGCUGGUGAAAUGUUCGGAUCGGCCGUUUGUCGCGGUUUCCGCGGCUCGUGGCUGAGAAGUUCAUUAAACCCUCCCACCUAGAGGAAGGAGAAGUCGUAACA
rnacentral:rRNA from 1 species